CUACUGUGAUGAGUCUCUGAACUCUCUCUUACUGAAUCACUCUUUGAAGAAACCCCUUUACCAGAUUCUGAGUAGC
rnacentral:snoRNA from 1 species